GAUGAACGCUGGCGGCGUGCUUAACACAUGCAAGUCGAACGAAGCACUUUAUUUGAUUUCCUUCGGGACUGAUUAUUUUGUGACUGAGUGGCGGACGGGUGAGUAACGCGUGGGUAACCUGCCUUGUACAGGGGGGAUAACAGUUGGAAACGGCUGCUAAUACCGCAUAAGCGCACAGCAUCGCAUGAUGCAGUGUGAAAAACUCCGGUGGUAUAAGAUGGACCCGCGUUGGAUUAGCUAGUUGGUGGGGUAACGGCCCACCAAGGCGACGAUCAGUAGCCGGCCUGAGAGGGUGAACGGCCACAUUGGGACUGAGACACGGCCCAAACUCCUACGGGAGGCAGCAGUGGGGAAUAUUGCACAAUGGGGGAAACCCUGAUGCAGCGACGCCGCGUGAAGGAUGAAGUAUUUCGGUAUGUAAACUUCUAUCAGCAGGGAAGAAAAUGACG
rnacentral:rRNA from 1 species